rnacentral:rRNA from 1 species
CCUACGGGUUGCAGCAGUGGGGAAUUUUCCGCAAUGGGCGAAAGCCUGACGGAGCAAUACCGCGUGAGGGAUGACGGCCUAUGGGUUGUAAACCUCUUUUUUCAGGGAGGAAUCAAUGACGUGUACCUGAAGAAUAAGCAUCGGCUAACUCCGUGCCAGCAGCCGCGGUAAGACGGGGGAUGCAAGUGUUAUCCGGAAUCACUGGGCGUAAAGCGUCUGUAGGUGGUUUAAUAAGUCAACUGUUAAAUCUUGAGGCUCAACCUCAAAAUCGCAGUCGAAACUAUUAGACUAGAGUAUAGUA